AGUGAACGCUGGCGGUAGGCCUAACACAUGCAAGUCGAACGGCAGCACAGUAAGAGCUUGCUCUUACGGGUGGCGAGUGGCGGGCGGGUGAGGAAUACAUCGGAAUCUACUUUUUCGUGGGGGAUAACGUAGGGAAACUUACGCUAAUAUCGCAUACGACCUACGGGUGAAAGCAGGGGAUCUUCGGACCUUGCGCGAUUGAAUGAGCCGAUGUCGGAUUAGCUAGUUGGCGGGGUAAAGGCCCACCAAGGCGACGAUCCGUAGCUGGUCUGAGAGGAUGAUCAGCCGCACUGGAGCUGGGACACGGUCAAGACUCCUACGGGAGGCAGCAGUGGGGAAUAUUGGGCAAUGGGCGCAAGCCUGAUCCAGCCAUACCGCGUGGGUGAAGAAGGCGUUGGGGUUGUAAAGCCCUUUUGUUGGGAAAGAAAAGCAGCAGGUUAAUACCCCGCUGUUCUGACGGUACCCAAAGAAUAAGCACCGGCUAACUUCGUG
rnacentral:rRNA from 1 species